UGAGGAAUAUUGGUCAAUGGGCGAGAGCCUGAACCAGCCAAGUAGCGUGCAGGAUGACGGCCCUAUGGGUUGUAAACUGCUUUUAUGCGGGGAUAAAGUGCGGCACGUGUGCCGUUUUGUAUGUACCGCAUGAAUAAGGACCGGCUAAUUCCGUG
rnacentral:rRNA from 1 species